AAAGAAAUUUUUCUACAAAACAUCUGUUGCGGUGACAAGUUGUUUUUGAUUGAGCUCAUCCAUUUCAAUUGGGCCCUCCCUUUUCCUCUCAGCAACCUCAAAGCGAUGUGUCCUCAACCUCAAAACAAUGUUCCUGCGUAACCAAUAGCUUGUUUUCGAAGGAAACUUGUGAAACAGCACACCCCAGUGGCCUCAUUAGUACUGCGGCUAAAAAAAUGAAUUAGUGCCUGAUUGAAGACAAAUGAAGCAUUUACUGAAAGAGAGGCUAAGAGAGAAGAGGCGAGGGAGGAGGAAGAGAGACAAAGUGAGAUUGGCUUGCCUGCGGACUCACUUGGCAGGAAUCGCUUGACUGGAUGUGUCGUAUAUGACUGUGCAAAACACGCACACACACACAGACGCAGUGAGUGAAAGUAACAGGAGAGGUUGCUCUGGAUCACUCUGUUGUGGAAAGUAGAGCAGCAAGGUUCCUUCGCAGGAACUUAUUGGAUUCUCUCAGUUGCUGUUGGAUGGUGAAUGAAGUCAGGAGAUGUCUGCGUGACAUGCGACUGUAUUGGUGGUCCUGGGACAGGUGCUUUCUGGGUCACGGGGCGGUUGGAGCUUAGGAGGGAUGCCUGUAUGUCUUUAAAUGCUGUAAGACCUGCUAAAGAAGCUAUCUGUGUGAACGAAUGCUGCCUAGGGCGCGUUAUCCAAGUUAAGAACUACAGAGAAAUGUACAACACCUGGUUUUCGAAUUGGAUCUGGUGAGUUGCACUAUCAGUGAUUACUAUUAAAUCAUAACACCAGUGUUUUAGGGAUGGGUUUAUUACCAGGUUCACAUGUAGUCUCUGCCCACAGAAUGUCAUUUCCAUAGAAAUGUGAUGUCUGUUAUUUAGACCAGAAGUAUUCAGAUAUUUUCACCCCCGAAUAUG